GACGAACCGAGCGAACGUUGUUCGGAAUCACUGGGCUUAAAGGGCGCGUAGGCGGGCAUCAUAGUCUGUGGUGAAAUCCGGCAGCUUAACUGUCGAAUUGCCAUGGAUACUGGGUGUCUCGAGGGAGGCAGGGGUGCGCGGAACUGAUGGUGGAGCGGUGAAAUGCGUUGAUAUCAUCAGGAACACCGGAGGCGAAGGCGGCUCACUGGGGGUCUUCUGACGCUGAGGAACGAAAGCCAGGGGAGCGAACGGG
rnacentral:rRNA from 1 species